rnacentral:rRNA from 1 species
UACGUAGGGGGCAAGCGUUGUCCGGAUUUAUUGGGCGUAAAGAGCGUGUAGGCGGCCAUACAGGUCCGUUGUGAAAACUGGAGGCUUAACCUCCAGACGUCGAUGGAAACCGUAUGGCUAGAGUCCGGAAGAGGAGAGUGGAAUUCCUGGUGUAGCGGUGAAAUGCGCAGAUAUCGGGAGGAACACCGGUGGCGAAGGCGGUUCUCUGGGCCUUACCUGACGCUGAGGAGCGAAAGCGUGGGGAGCGAACAGG